rnacentral:tRNA from 1 species
ACCGAGAGAGGUCCGACGACACUUGAUUCCGCUAAACUCAUAGUUCUAAAGUUACACCCCUUAGCUCUCUUAC